UCAUGUCGCAGUUUCGAUUUACAUAUAGUUUGAUAUAAAGACCAGUUAGCCUUCGAAAAGUUCCAUCUUGUAUACAAUGGAGAAUCAGAUGGGAGUUAUUUCGGAAAGGAUGGUUGGGAAGUGGUCACAUCCACAAAGGUCAAUGUCGACUGUCC